rnacentral:lncRNA from 10 species
CGCGGGUGCCUGUGGUAGGGGAGCAAGCACUAAUUUCUACAUAAUUUGAAUCUUCAGCUUCAUGCUGUUUUUUUGGCUAAUGAUACUUUGUCACUAAAUCACUGUAGACUUUGCAAAGUGCCUCCUCCAUAAUCUUAUGUGAUCUUAUACCUGGAGGCACACAAGGUAGGUGCUAUUGUUCCUGUUUCAUAGGUGAGGAAACUAAGAUGCAGGGAGGCUGAGCAAAAUGCCCCAAAUUACAGUCAAUUACGGCAGAACAGGGACUCCCAUCUGCUUUCUGCUGCCUUUCCAAUGACCUACAUCUGCCUACCAGCACCUUGACUGUGGGCCCAGGGAGAGGAGUCUAACCGCCUUCCAGAGCUGGAGAGGUAAGUAUUGGGGGAGAAAAAGAAAAAAGACAACAGCUAUUGUGUUUUUCUAUGGGAAGUGCUGUACAAAAUUUGAUUAUCUCCAGAUUCCAAGCCAAGCCUGGCAGCUGGGCUAGUACCUAAUUCUUAGGCUUGCCCAUGCAUGGAGGAAAGUGGGAUACUGAAG